rnacentral:rRNA from 1 species
ACGGAGGAUCCGAGCGUUAUCCGGAUUUAUUGGGUUUAAAGGGAGCGUAGGCGGGUGCUUAAGUCAGUUGUGAAAGUUUGCGGCUCAACCGUAAAAUUGCAGUUGAUACUGGGUACCUUGAGUGCAGCAUAGGUAGGCGGAAUUCGUGGUGUAGCGGUGAAAUGCUUAGAUAUCACGAAGAACUCCUAUUGCGAAGGCAGCUUACUGGACUGUAACUGACGCUGAUGCUCGAAAGUGUGGGUAUCAAACAG